AAUUAUAAGGUCUGAUAUCAAACAUAAACAAAGCGAAAAAGCUCAGAAAACAAUCAAAAUUAUUUUCCUUGUCCGGUUUUAAAUUUGAAAAGAAGGAAGAAAGCUUCAAAAGCGUUUAUCAUUCAUCUUUAAAAAGCUUUAUUUCAACGUUUGAAUAAUCGUGCUUCCAUAGGAUACGUCCAGUUCAAUUCAAUGGCAGAGAAGAGUAUUUGAAAACACAUCAAUGUUAACGUCCCACCCAUUUCGUAGAAUCAGAAUCAUAACACACUUUGACAAAGCAAUUGAAUUUCGAUCAUCUUGAAAAGAAUAAUCAAAUCCAAACACUUUAUUUGACGAUUGGGAAAAUCUCAUACUCGGAAGAAAAUACAACAACUACAGUAACUUACCAGUACUCAUGAAAUACGGUAUACGGAAUCUGCCGGAUA